AGGGGGGAGGAGGAGUCACGAGGAGGGCGGCCCGGCCGCGCCUCUAGCCCCGGCUCGGGCCCUCAGCCCUCCGCCCCGGCCCGCAUACAACGCUGUCUGCACCGCUCCCCUGCCUUCUUCCGGGCUCCCAGAGCACCGCUAUGGAGAUGCUCUCCCGGCAUUUGAGGAAGAAUUGAUUGUCCUCAUCCUGCAACUGUACUUGCCCAACCGAUAUUUAUUGAUGCCUGCAGUGUCCUGGGUGCCUACCAAGGGGCACAGAACUGGAUCCGACGCAGACCCUGCCUGCCUUCAGGUUGCUUGAAGAUGAACAGAGAGAUCGGACCUCUGCAGCACUCUCUAUGUUGCCCAGGCUGGUCUCAGACUCCUGGACUCAAAGCGAUCCUCCUUCGUCAGCCUCCCAAGUAGCUGGGACUGCAGAUUCAUGCUCUCCAUCUCCAGAUCAUGAACAGCAGCCAUUGUCCUGGGUCCUCCCUCCUCCCCAGAAGGACAUGAAUCCCAGGGAACAGCAGGUGGCCCUAGGUCCUCAGGCUGCCGCUCUUCCCUGGGCUGUCUGGCGCAACGACUGCUUUCCAAGGCCUUUCCUGUAUGUGAAGAGAAGACAGCUGAAGAUGAUCAAAAUGAUCUAAACCUCCUAAAUGGCCCAAAAUAAAGUUUUCUAUGUAAUUGUUUUAAAAAGAGCCAGAUGACUGAGAUUAAAAUGCAGCUCUACCAUGUAUCAGCUGUAAGUUAACAUCAGAUAAAUCACUUAAUUAAAUUCUCCAAGCCUCAAA
ensembl:lncRNA RRAGC-DT RRAGC divergent transcript